rnacentral:rRNA from 1 species
UACGUAGGUCCCGAGCGUUGUCCGGAUUUAUUGGGCGUAAAGCGAGCGCAGGUGGUUUAUUAAGUCUGGUGUAAAAGGCAGUGGCUCAACCAUUGUAUGCAUUGGAAACUGGUAGACUUGAGUGCAGGAGAGGAGAGUGGAAUUCCAUGUGUAGCGGUGAAAUGCGUAGAUAUAUGGAGGAACACCGGUAGCGAAAGCGGCUCUCUGGCCUGUAACUGACACUGAGGCUCGAAAGCGUGGGGAGCAAGCAGG